rnacentral:lncRNA from 10 species
GGCAAGGCUUGUUUAUUUUUCCAUGUGAACGUUAGUAUCAGUUCUAGCUCUCUUUGAAAGAGAAACGCAUGGGGUUGUUAUUAGAAUCGCAUUAAAUUUAUACCCUAAAUUAGGGAGAGCUGACAUCUCGGUGAUGCUGGAACAUCCUAACUGUUCUAUUUCGGGUUUUUUUUGUGUCUUCAGGAGUGUUUUAUGAUUGCCUUCGUAUAGGUUAUGAACACUUAUUGUUAAGUUUCUGUUGACGGGUUAGAGAGCACGGGUUUGGCUGUGUGCUGGUUAUUCUCUGUGUGCCCCCCAGACACCCCCACCCAGCCUUACCCGUAUCCCGUAUGGCUGUGUCAAGGGGCGCCCCUGCCCACCAGCUGCUCAUCGUGUAUGGCUAAGAGGAAGCUCACAGAAAAUAAUGGGGUGGGGCGAGAGAGAUCGGGGUUUUAUCCCCAGACCCCUUCUCCCGGUCCUGGGCAGGAGCGCCUGCGUCUCCCUGCCAUGGACUGCUGGGCGGCCCGGGCCCUCCUCUGGGGUCUGCCUGCGUCCCUCCUGUCCUCAGGCGUGGGUCAGCCCUGGCUCCCCGGCUACCUACCCCAGGUUCUGCUCUGUCCUUUCCUAGUUCCCCUGACUCUACCCAUACCGUAGAGACCGCCCCUUCUUUAAACCCUCUGGGCUCACUCUGCUGGUGUGCGCCCUCUGCUCCCGCCUGGACUCGACUCGCUCUGCUGGUGGGCGCCCUCUGCUCCCACCUGAACUCGACUCGCUCUGCUGGUGUGCGCCCUCUGCUCCCGCCUGGACUCAACUCGCUCUGCUGAGGGCAGGAGCCGGGCUGUUCUUACCACCGGAAAGCACAAGCCUCCCUCAGACUAAAGCAGAACUGCAAGAAGAGGAGACUCCAUCCCAAGAACGGGGUUCGGCUCCUGGAUUCCACCACGCCCAGAGCCCGGGAUUAACCUCCAGGCUUUUCCAUCACAUAAGCCAAUAAAGUCACUUUUUUGUUUCAGCCA